CAUCUCACUUUAAGGAGUUUCUCUCUAUGAGGGGGGAACGGAUAUGUGUGUUUCAUCUUUGAUCUAUGAAGAACCUGUGGCGAAAACAGAGGGGAAGAAGAUGAGAAAACUGAGGCCCAGACGGAAGAAGGAUGUGUCCCAAGACCACACAGGUGAUCCAGCGCAGGAACGAGUCUCCUCCUCUGCUUCUCUUGCUCAAGCAUAGUCCCUCCCAGCCUCUCCCCUAUAUUACCACCUGUCAAAAUCCAACCCAUGGCCCGGAAAGACUGCCACCUUUUCCAUGAAGCCUUCCAUGAUGUGUCCACCGCAACCCAAUGACAUCUUUCCUUCCUCUGAAGUUGCAGAGUUCUUCGGUCAGGCCUUUGUAGCAUUCAUCUAGAAAGGCAAGCACUCUGCUCUUGGGGUGAGGAGGGAGUGACCUGGAUCUGAAUUUCACCUUCCAUACUUCACCUCUCCAGGCCUCAUUUUCACCAUCUGUGAAAUGGGGACAGGAAUACCCAUCUUCUCCACUUCCCAGGGAUGUUGGGAGGAUCAGAUCAGAUCCUGUGUAUAAAAGUGGGUUGGAAAACCUUCAAACCCUCCAUAAAUGGCAGACAAACAAUCCUUCCAAUACCUGGUGGUGGCUCUUGGCAGCCUUACCCAACAUGGCAGCAGGUCAGCAACCAUCCCAUGUGACUGGCCAGGCCCUUCCAAAUAUUUGGCAAAGAGAGUCCUCCCUAUAUGGUGGAAGGCUUCCUCAAUUUCUUCCCAUUAUUGUGAGGGUAAAAACAUAAUUGUAUUUCUAAAGAAACUAAAUGUCUUUUUAGUUUUAGCUCCUUUAUAAGACUACAUGGGGAGGACAGGGACCAUGACUCAUCCUUCUUUGUAUUCACCCCACCCCCCC